ACGAACGCUGGCGGCGUGCUUAACACAUGCAAGUCGAACGGAAAGGCCCUGCUUUUGUGGGGUGCUCGAGUGGCGAACGGGUGAGUAACACGUGAGUAACCUGCCCUUGACUUUGGGAUAACUUCAGGAAACUGGGGCUAAUACCGGAUAGGAGCUCCUGCUGCAUGGUGGGGGUUGGAAAGUUUCGGCGGUUGGGGAUGGACUCGCGGCUUAUCAGCUUGUUGGUGGGGUAGUGGCUUACCAAGGCUUUGACGGGUAGCCGGCCUGAGAGGGUGACCGGCCACAUUGGGACUGAGAUACGGCCCAGACUCCUACGGGAGGCAGCAGUGGGGAAUAUUGCACAAUGGGCGGAAGCCUGAUGCAGCAACGCCGCGUGCGGGAUGACGGCCUUCGGGUUGUAAACCGCUUUCGCCUGUGGCGAAGCGUGAGUGACGGUAAUGGGGAAAGAAGCACCGGCUAACUACGU
rnacentral:rRNA from 1 species